CAAUAGCGUAUAUUAAAGUUGUUGCAGUUAAAAAGCUCGUAGUUGGAUUUCUGAUCGAGACAUCAGGUCGGGUCCGAGAGGAUCAUGUACUUUGAUUUGUUUUGAUCAUCCUUGGGGAGAGCAUUUCUGGCAUUCAGUUGUCGGGAUUGGGAUCCUCAUCGUUUACUGUGAAAAAAUUAGAGUGUUCAAAGCAGGCUUAUGCCGUUGAAUAUAUUAGCAUGGAAUAAUAAGAUAGGACUUUGGUACUAUUUUGUUGGUUUGCGCACCAAAGUAAUGAUUAAUAGGGACAGUUGGGGGUAUUCGUAUUCCGUUGUCAGAGGUGAAAUUCUUGGAUUUACGGAAGACGAACUACUGCGAAAGCAUUUACCAAGGAUGUUUUCAUUAA
rnacentral:rRNA from 1 species